UGACGAGCUUGCUUCUCCCUGUGU
rnacentral:siRNA from 1 species